ensembl:snRNA U6 U6 spliceosomal RNA
GUGUUAGCACUUCUGCAGCACAUAUAACUAAAAUUGGAGCAAUAUAGAGAUUAGCAUGGUCUCUGUGCAAGGAUGAUUUGUGAAGUGUUUGAUAUUUAAAAAAAUGCC